rnacentral:rRNA from 1 species
GCAAGUCGAGCGCAUCCUUCGGGGUGAGCGGCGGACGGGUUAGUAACGCGUGGGAACAUACCCUUUUCUACGGAAUAGCCUCGGGAAACUGAGAGUAAUACCGUAUAAGCCCUUCGGGGGAAAGAUUUAUCGGGAAAGGAUUGGCCCGCGUUAGAUUAGAUAGUUGGUGGGGUAAUGGCCUACCAAGUCUACGAUCUAUAGCUGGUUUUAGAGGAUGAUC